UCACCAUCCAGAGACUUGAAAACAAACAGCACAACGCUUUCCUUUUUUCCCUCAAAAAACAGCGGCAGAGCGCAGCCCCCUUCUCCCCCCGAUCCAAUCGCGCCCGAGCGCCUUCCUCGCGCCCUCGUCGAGGAAGCAGGAAGCCUCACAAGCACCCCUCUCCCGCAGCUCGAACCCGAGUGGGUCGAGCCAGUCACCCCCGCCGGUGAUCUGCAGCAACAGCAGCAGGACCCACCGGAGAACUCAGAACAACAACAAUGGCGAUGCCACUAUAGAGCUCUGAACUGCCGCCGUCACGCCCGCAUCAAGUUCGCCGGAAUCUGUGCACCGACACCCGGCGCAGCGACCCAGCAUGCCCGCGUCACAACAGGAGCAGGAGCAUCUCCGGCAAGUGGCCUCGACCGCCUCCUUCUAUUCCUGCUCGCGCCCAGCGCCUCGUCCAAGCGCGGACCACCAGCGCCUCGCCCUUUGCUGUCAUCCCGAUUUGGCCCGCCCCUUCAUCCUCGUUGGUGAGCGGCAAGCAGGCCACGAGAGAGGGGGCGACGAGGAAGGGGUUUGUACCGAAGCUGGUGACGUGGGAGUGAAGGUCGCAUGGCUGGCGGUGGCGGCUGCCGCCAGGAGGUGGCCGUGGCGGCGGCGGAGGCUGGAGGACGCGAGCCUCGUCGCGGCCGCUCGCAGGGCCAUGCCCUUCCUUCCUUGGCAGCGCGAAAUGGGGGGAGAAGGGGAGCACGGGAGCGUCCCCCUCCCCGGCGCUCCUUCUUCUCCUCCGCGACUCACCGCCGCCGUGGGGCCUCCUGCCGCCGCCCCCCUCACGACACGGGAGCAGCAACUCUGCCGCCGCUGUUGGAAUUUAUAUGUCGUGGAAGAAGAUGUAUAGUUUCCUUGUGCGUGCAAUCCAAAUAACACGCGUUUGUCA